GAAACACGUGGUAGGACGCUAACAGUUUUCUUUGUAACAGUUUUCCCUCCGUAAAGGUGAUGUACGGAUACCUUUGUUGAUUAAGACUUAAAGCAUGGGGUAAAGGAAACAGGUCUAUGUUGCUGCCAUCAGGGACUUGAAAAUGUAGUAUGCAGUAUGUUUUUGAGGCCAGGAUAUUUCGCAGAUUCUUGUAGUGAACAGCUGGGCAGCUGAAACUUACCACUAAGAAAAGGUUCUGAAGACUAUUCUUGAUGUCAGGAGAUGCAAGUGCUAAAACCCUUAAAUGAAAUACUUUCAGUGCAUGCCUAACUGCAGUCAUUUUUAUCAGUUCUGUUGCAAUGUCAUUGACAAAAGCCUUUCUCAUGACCCUCUACAUUCAGACAACCACACUGUAUCAUUGAAUGGUACUUCCAUUGACAAAUAAAGUUUU